rnacentral:rRNA from 1 species
UGGGGAAUCUUGGGCAAUGGGCGGAAGCCUGACCCAGCCACGCCGCGUGCCGGAGGAAGGCCGAAAGGGUUGUAAACGGCUUUUCUGCGGGACUAAGUGGCGCCGAUGGGUGUCAUUGAAGGUACCGCAGGAAUAAGCACCGGCUAACUACGUGCCAGCAGCCGCGGUAAGACGUAGGGUGCGAGCGUUGUCCGGAGUUACUGGGCUUAAAGGGUGCGUAGGCGG